rnacentral:tRNA from 1 species
GGGUCCGUGGCCUAGUGGAUAGGGCAACAGCCUUCUAAGCUGUGGGUCGAGGGUUCGAAUCCCUCCGGACUCG